AUACGUAGGGGGCGAGCGUUGUCCGGAAUGAUUGGGCGUAAAGGGCGCGUAGGCGGCCCGGUAAGCCUGGAGUGAAAGUCCUGUUUUUAAGAUGGGAAUUGCUUUGGAUACUGUCGGGCUUGAGUGCAGGAGAGGAAAGUGGAAUUCCCAGUGUAGCGGUGAAAUGCGUAGAGAUUGGGAGGAACACCAGUGGCGAAGGCGACUUACUGGACUGUAACUGACGCUGAGGCGCGAAAGUGUGGGGAGCAAACAGGAUUAGAUACCCUGGUAGUCCACACUGUAAACGAUGAAUGCUAGGUGUAGGGGGUAUCGACCCCUUCUGUGCCGCAGUCAACACAAUAAGCAUUCCGCCUGGGGAGUACGGCCGCAAGGUUGAAACUCAAAUGAAUUGACGGGG
rnacentral:rRNA from 1 species